rnacentral:rRNA from 1 species
AACUCCUACGGGAGGCAGCAGUGAGGAAUAUUGGUCAAUGGCCGAGAGGCUGAACCAGCCAAGUCGCGUGAAGGAAGAAGGAUCUAUGGUUUGUAAACUUCUUUUAUAGGGGAAUAAAGUGGAGGACGUGUCCUUUUUUGUAUGUACCCUAUGAAUAAGCAUCGGCUAACUCCGUGCCAGCAGCCGCGGUAAUACGGAGGAUGCGAGCGUUAUCCGGAUUUAUUGGGUUUAAAGGGUGCGUAGGUGGUGAUUUAAGUCAGCGGUGAAAGUUUGUGGCUCAACCAUAAAAUUGCCGUUGAAACUGGGUUACUUGAGUGUGUUUGAGGUAGGCGGAAUGCGUGGUGUAGCGGUGAAAUGCAUAGAUAUCACGCAGAACUCCGAUUGCGAAGGCAGCUUACUAAACCAUAACUGACACUGAAGCACGAAAGCGUGGGGAUCAAACAGGAUUAGAUACCCUGGUAGUCCACGCAGUAAACGAUGAUUACUAGGAGUUUGCGAUACAAUGUAAGCUCUACAGCGAAAGCGUUAAGUAAUCCACCUGGGGAGUACGCCGGCAACGGUGAAACUCAAAGGAAUUGACGGGGGCCCGCACAAGCGGAGGAACAUGUGGUUUAAUUCGAUGAUACGCGAGGAACCUUACCCGGGUUUGAACGUAGUCUGACCGGAGUGGAAACACUCCUUCUAGCAAUAGCAGAUUACGAGGUGCUGCAUGGUUGUCGUCAGCUCGUGCCGUGAGGUGUCGGCUUAAGUGCCAUAACGAGCGCAACCCUUAUCACUAGUUACUAACAGGUGAAGCUGAGGACUCUGGUGAGACUGCCAGCGUAAGCUGUGAGGAAGGUGGGGAUGACGUCAAAUCAGCACGGCCCUUACAUCCGGGGCGACACACGUGUUACAAUGGCAUGGACAAAGGGCAGCUACCUGGCGACAGGAUGCUAAUCUCCAAACCAUGUCUCAGUUCGGAUCGGAGUCUGCAACUCGACUCCGUGAAGCUGGAUUCGCUAGUAAUCGCGCAUCAGCCAUGGC